GUAGGGGCCAAGCGUUAUCCGGAUUUAUUGGGGCGUAAAGAGCUCGUAGGCGGCUAGGCAAGUCGGUCGUGAAAGUCCGAGGCUCAACCUCGGGAAUGCCGGGUCGAAACUGCCAUGGCUAGGGUUCGGUAGAGGAGAGUGGAAUUCUCGGUGUAGCGGUGAAAUGCGCAGAUAUCGAGAGGAACGCCAGUAGCGAAGGCGGCUCUCUGGGCCGAUACCGACGCUGAGGAGCGAAAGCGUGGGGAGCAAACAGGAUUAGAUACCCUGGUAGUCCACGCCGUAAACGGUGAUCACUAGGUGUGGCGGACUCAUUGACGUCUGCUGUGCCGGCGCUAACGCAUUAAGUGAUCCGCCUGGGGAGUACGGCCGCAAGGCUA
rnacentral:rRNA from 1 species